CUGAAGCCCUUUGGCUUUAGGAAGGCCUCAUGUUCCUCUCACAUUUCUGCUUUAUUGUUUUCACCUCUAAACUCCAAACUCCUUGUUUUUCAUGAGUAUUUUCCUGCAUUCACGAUGGCCUCCUUUCUCUCUCAUUUCCCAGGAUGUAAUACCUCAGCCGCUGCUAGAUCAGUAUGUGUCCAUGACUGACCCAGCUCGAGCCCAGACUGUCGAUACUGACAUAGCCAAACACUGUGCCUACAGCCUCCCAGGGGUGGCACUGACCCUGGGCAGGCAAAAUUGGCACUGCCUGAAAGAUACAUAUGAAACACUGGCUUCUGAUGUACAGGUAAAAGCCUUUCCAGAGGCACGUGCAGAAAGAGGGUGGGUCAUUCAUUAGGGAGAAAAGGGAAGCUGCAGCAAGGCUUAUUGGCCUGAAUUUUAUGUGGAUGCAAAUUGGCAUGUUUACUGGUCUCUGAUGAAAUAAAGCUUUAAGUGGCCAAC
ensembl:lncRNA novel transcript